rnacentral:rRNA from 1 species
AGGGUUCGAUUCUGGCUCAGGAUGAACGCUAGCUACAGGCUUAACACAUGCAAGUCGAGGGGCAGCAUGAGAUUAGCUUGCUAAUCUUGAUGGCGACCGGCGCACGGGUGAGUAACGCGUAUCCAACCUUCCCCCUACUCAGGCAUAGCCCGGUGAAAACCGGAUUAACUCCUGAUAGUUUCACUAGAUGGCAUCUGACGGUGAAUAAAGCUCAGCGGUAAGGGAUGGGGAUGCGUCUGAUUAGCUUGUUGGCGGGGUAACGGCCCACCAAGGCGACGAUCAGUAGGGGUUCUGAGAGGAAGGUCCCCCACAUUGGAACUGAGACACGGUCCAAACUCCUACGGGAGGCAGCAGUGAGGAAUAUUGGUCAAUGGGCGCGAGCCUGAACCAGCCAAGUAGCGUGCAGGACGACGGCCCUAUGGGUUGUAAACUGCUUUUGUAUGGGAAUAAAGUCAGGGACGUGUCCCUGUUUGCAUGUACCAUAAGAAUAAGGACCGGCUAAUUCCGUGCCAGCCGCCGC